rnacentral:lncRNA from 1 species
GUUCCAAAUAUUUUCAAUUAAAUCAUUUUUCAAUUGUUCAUGUAUACGCAUAUCGCGAAGAUGAUUCCGAAUGCCAAGCAUAUUACCGAGAUUUGUAGGCAUGUCGGUACUAUAGGACAUAUCCACCCGUGAACUUCUGGAUGCCUCUCCUUCUUCAAAUUCAGAUGUAUCGUACUGAGUGUAUCCAUCUCGUUCAUUUUCGACUAUCAUAUUGUGUAGUAUGAUACAUGCUCUCAUAAUAUGCCUUAUCUUUUCCUUGUCCCAUGAAAGAGCCGGGUUUUCACAAUCGCAAAUUGAGCUUGCAAUACUCCAAAAGCGCACUCCACAUCUUUUCGGGUUGCUUCUUGAACUUUAGCAAAUAACUCUGCUUUAGGAUCUUGAGGGAGUGAGACAGAUUGGAUAAAUGUUGACCAUUUUGGAUAUAUACCGUCUGUGAGGUAGUACGCCAAAUUAUACAUG